ensembl:lncRNA
AGCGGACGCGGCAAGGCCAGAGGGAGACGUGGAGGCCGUGCGGGCCAUACAGGCCGUGCAGACCGAUGGAGUGGCCUAACUACAGGCAUGGACACUGAGGUGUUGGCACUUCCUUCAGAGGAUUCCUUGCCCUUACCCAGAGCACAGCAAAAUCCUCAAGAGAUGUUUGAACAAAACAUGGAGAGGCUUUCUGCCCUACUGGAUUCAAGCCCCUGUCCUGCUGAGCCUGAGAGAAGCGCAGCAUCAUCGUGGUCUGUUAGGCAGCAGAAAGCCUCUGACCGUUGGGAGGAAGCACGGCCGUACCACCUCAGAUGCCUUUUGGAAUCUGAGGCUGUUGGCAAGCCAUUGUGUUGCUUCUGCCACAAGCCGGCUGUUAUAAGG